rnacentral:rRNA from 1 species
GGCAUAGUCUUUCCGCAUGGUAGAAACUAUUAAAGAAUUUUCGGUCAUCGAUGGGGAUGCGUUCCAUUAGGUUGUUGGCGGGGUAACGGCCCACCAAGCCUUCGAUGGAUAGGGGUUCUGAGAGGAAGGUCCCCCACAUUGGAACUGAGACACGGUCCAAACUCCUACGGGAGGCAGCAGUGAGGAAUAUUGGUCAAUGGACGAGAGUCUGAACCAGCCAAGUAGCGUGAAGGAUGACUGCCCUAUGGGUUGUAAACUUCUUUUAUACGGGAAUAAAGUGAGGCACGUGUGCCUUUUUGUAUGUACCGUAUGAAUAAGGAUCGGCUAACUCCGUGCCAGCAGCCGCGGUAAUACGGAGGAUCCGAGCGUUAUCCGGAUUUAUUGGGUUUAAAGGGAGCGUAGGCGGACGCUUAAGUCAGUUGUGAAAGUUUGCGGCUCAACCGUAAAAUUGCAGUUGAUACUGGGUGUCUUGAGUACAGUAGAGGCAGGCGGAAUUCGUGGUGUAGCGGUGAAAUGCUUAGAUAUCACGAAGAACUCCGAUUGCGAAGGCAGCCUGCUGGACUGUAACUGACGCUGAUGCUCGAAAGUGUGGGUAUCAAACAGGAUUAGAUACCCUGGUAGUCCACACAGUAAACGAUGAAUACUCGCUGUUUGCGAUAUACAGUAAGCGGCCAAGCGAAAGCGUUAAGUAUUCCACCUGGGGAGUAC